GAUAUGCCCAGGGUCGUGUAGCUAGUGGCCUGACACUUUAAUUCCAUUACUCAAAACCAGAUGGCGUCACUUGAAGAAUAUUGGUGUAAAGAAACAGUACCUGCAGCAGAAUGGUGGUCAUGUCAAAGGAGAGAAGUGGGCAGAUGGGAGAUAUGUUCUGAAGAUACAUGCAAACAAGAAAGAGGCCAGGCCUACUCAUCCUCUUGCCUAAUUGUUGUCCUCCGGAAUUUCCUCCCCACUUGAUUCC